AGUGAACGCUGGCGGCGUGCUUAACACAUGCAAGUCGAACGAGAACGGGUUAUAGCUUGCUAUAAUUGUCAGCUAAGUGGCGCACGGGUGAGUAAUGUAUAGGCAAUAUGCCUCUUACUAAGGGAUAACAAAUGGAAACGUUUGCUAAUACCUUAUACUCCUUAUUAACAUAAGUUAAUAAGGGAAAGAUUUAUUGGUAAGAGAUUAGCCUGUAUUGUAUCAGUUAGUUGGUGGGGUAAUGGCUUACCAAGACUAUGACACAUAACUGGUUUGAGAGGAUGAUCAGUCACACUGGAACUGAGACACGGUCCAGACUCCUACGGGAGGCAGCAGUGGGGAACAUUGCACAAUGGACGAAAGUCUGAUGCAGCAACGCCGCGUGGAGGAUGACACAUUUCGGUGCGUAACUCCUUUUAUAUGAGAAGAUAAUGACGGUAUUAUAUGAAUAAGCACCGGCUAACUCCGUGCCAGCAGCCGCGGUAA
rnacentral:rRNA from 1 species